AAAAAGCUGAAGACCGGGAUUAUACAUCGGCAGAUGAAAAAGCCUUAGGACGAGGAAAAAGAUCUAAGGCUAUUACUCAUCCUUGUAAUACAGAUUCUAGUUCUGAUUCUAGAGAAUCUUCAAAGUCACCACCACCACCGCGACUUCCUCCACGAGCUAUUAGUCACAAAAAAACUUCAAAAGUGAACACUGUGGAGAAAGUUAACCAGAACAACUUCGAGGAUAACAUUCAAGUUAUAGACGAAAUACCUAUUUUAUCAGAAAUUCCGAUAAUUAUU